UAGUGGCGAAAGGGUGAGUAACGAAUAGGUAACGUGCCCUGUGCUCCGGGAUAGCGUCAUUCGCCUUCGGGCGAAUUUCCGAAAGGGGCGGUAAUACCGGAUAAUGUCAUUCGUCAACAGACGUGUGACCAAAGAUUAUUUCGGCAGUGGAGCGGCCUAUUUCCUAUCAGCUUGUUGGUGAGGUAACGGCUCACCAAGGCAACGACGGGUAGCGGGACUGAGAGGUUGGCCCGCCACAUCGGGACUGAGACACUGCCCGGACCUCCACGGAGGGCUGCAGUAACGAAUAUUGGGCAAUGGCGCAAGCCUGACCCAGCGACGCCGCGUGCGGGAUGAAGUCUUUCGGGAUGUAAACCGCUGUCAGGGUGACGAAAGUCCGCUUCGGCGGAUUGAUCGAAGCCAAAGGAAGUCACGGCUAACUUCGUGCCAGCAGCCGCGGUAAGACGAAGGUGGCAAGCGUUGUUCGGAAUCACUGGGCUUAAAGGGCACGUAGGCGGAACAGUAAGCGUUGUGUGAAAUCCCCCGGCUUAACCGGGGAACUGCUCGGCGAACUGCUGUUCUUGAGACAAGCAGGGGUGCGUGGAACUCUUGGUGGAGCGGUGAAAUGCGUAGAUAUCAAGAGGAACGCCGGCGGAGAAAUCGGCGCACUGGGCUUGUU
rnacentral:rRNA from 1 species